UUAUGACUUCAUCCUGGGAUCAAGCUGAAGGAGAAGCUGAGUUAAGAGGGAGAAAGAUGUGAUUAAAGCUAGAGUCGCCUCUGCAAUGGGCAGGGCAUUACAGGGAGAGGUAAAUGAGGUUUGUGGUAACCUAGUUCCAACCGUCAUAAGGCCCACGCACAGCAGGUCUUCAUAAUGAGAUGAGAUUGGCUUCCCCAACAGAAACAUCUGCAACAUUAGGGGUGCAUAAGAUGUCCUUAAAAUUCCCAAUGAAGCCACAUUCAGAUUUCUUCAGAGCAGGCAUGCCUCGGCUUCCUCAGACAGAUGCUCUCUCUGCAAGCCUGGUUUCUUUCUCGGCCAGCAAUCAACCGAAGCACCUGAACAUACAAUAAAAAACUACAUCAG